GACAACUUCAAAGAAGAUUCAAAGUUUGAAAAAGAAAUAAAUGAAAUGAAACGUGAACGAAAUAAGACCAAAUUUGAUAUUGAAAUUGACCAGAUGACAAAUGAAGGAGCUAUUGCUGAUAUCAAGGAACGUUCAG